rnacentral:rRNA from 1 species
CACGUGGGCAACCUGCCUGUAAGACUGGGAUAACUCCGGGAAACCGGUGCUAAUACCAGAUAGUUUCUUUUCUCGCAUGAGAAAAGAAGGAAAGAUGGCGUCACGCUAUCACUUACAGAUGGACCCGCGGCGCAUUAGCUAGUUGGUGAGGUAAUGGCUCACCAAGGCAACGAUGCGUAGCCGACCUGAGAGGGUGAUCGGCCACACUGGGACUGAGACACGGCCCAGACUCCUACGGGAGGCAGCAGUAGGGAAUCUUCCGCAAUGGACGAAAGUCUGACGGAGCAACGCCGCGUGAGC